UUGGUGGCCCUGGAUCACAUCAUUAUUGUGUAAAGCUCUUGUUCUUAGUUUGGUUCUUGAGUUCCACAGAUGCCUGCUGUGCUUCACACUUAUUUCCUGUUUUAGGGCCAUCUGUGAUUAGGAGAUAAGAUCUUUGGAAGUUCUGAGCUUCCUCUUCUAUGGUCAACAUCUGUUUCAAAAAUGGCCAUUCACAGCUCUUGCACGAGCUGGCUCUGGGUGGGACCUCAAUGUUGCCCAUCUCUAAAAAGGACAUGGUGCCAUCAGUUUUCAGUAGAGGGCACCAAGAAUGGCAUGUGUAGGCGAUUUGAGGGCUGCAUGCAGCCUCGGGAACACAUUUGACCCCUCUUGAUUUGCUCUACUUGGGGAACAAAGGCUCAAGAGCCAGAUGGAUCUUGGC